UAGGCCCAUCACUCCCUUUCAUCCCAUUUUAGGUACAGGAGGCUUGAUGGAUCAGCUAUUCCUCCAGGAAAGCCAGGAUUAAGGGGGUCAGGUCAGCAGUGUGAGAACGCCUUUAACAGUAGUGUGGGAACACAGGGCUCCCUUAUUAACACGUUAAUGUACUGAACCUGAAGCUCAUUUUAACGAGAUGGAGACAGUGGAGUCCUCCCCCGUCAGCCCAGACCUGUGCCCUCAGAGCUGCCUGAUCCACCAAGUGACAAAUCUCCUGGAAAUCUCAUAAACCAGGGCGAGCACAACAUCAGGAUUUACUGACCACAGCAAAGGUUUCUCUGAAGACCCAAAAGAAGAGCUUUAAGCAAGACAGCAAAGGCUGACGUUACAGCAGAAGUGCUGAGAUCCCUCCAUGUAUACAUACAUGUGCCUGGUGAAAUGCAAAUCUCUAGGAUUUUGAGAGUUUGCAAAUAAUGACUCCAGUCUUUGGCUGCCUGCCACUUCUGUGAAAAACUAGAAUAGCCACAGUGCAAGACUAUAAUAUUAAAGAAAGAAAAAAAAAGGAAAAAAAAAAAGGAAAAAGGAAAAGGAAAAAUAGAGGGAUUCUUGCUGAACUCUGUGUAUUUCCUACCAGGACGGACCUGUUCAAGAUGCAAUGUACUGGAAGGCAGCAAUUAGGUCACCUCUAAGCCUAAGCCUCUUCAGUAACAUCAAGGAACAAACAACAACAACAACAAAGCCCUGCGAGGUUAACCCUAAUUCAUUUCCCAAGGCCCCCGUCACUACUGAUGCAGCUGCCUUGUGGAGGAAGCUGUUUGAAGCGGGGCAGCAUAUCCGUGUCCUUCCCACCUGGCCACCCACACCCCAGCAUCCCUGGACUGUGUGAGAACAAGCACAGAGGACUCAGGCUGGACAAGAUGCCUCCAGGUCCAAGCUCCGGCAGCUGCUUUCAUCCUGUGCAUCUCUCUGAGAAAGACACUGCUGGAGGGGACCCUCCUGGCCACAGGAGGCAUCAUUAGAGCCGUGAGCUGGCCUUCAAACCACCGGGCUUGUGCUCAGAAGAAAUGAAGAAGUGUAAGAAGGAAGAACAAUAAAAGAAACACCCAGCUCUGCCCUGCUCAGACAGGUAAUGUGGGGAGGGGUCACACACGUGCUGGGGGCUGCUCUGCUUUUCCCUUUUGAAACUGGUGGGCCCAGCUACUACAUGACAAUUAUCCAUGUAUCCAGAUUUACGAGAUUCCUCAGCCAGCCAAUAAAACCGGGAGGGAAAUAUAGAGAUGUCCAUAAAUGACAUAUUUUCAUGCUUUGUGCAUCCCGUCCCUGCGAAGCGCUUUUGAGCAGCUAAGCAAUUUACAUCUAAUAGCAAAGUGUUUUUUAAUCAGUCAGAUCAAUUUGUGAAGAAUUGGUACAUUAGGUAUAGCCAUAUAGCAGAGAUCCUUAUAGCAAAGGUUUGGAAGUAAUUGCUCCCUGACCCACUGAACACUGUAUUACUAUAGAAGUUUGUAUUCUAUUAAGAGUUAAUAAGUGACCAAAAUCUAGACUAAUACACUGUCAGGGUUCAUUAUCAUUACAGGUUCUUGCUAUUUUUCCAGUGCCUUUUGCUCUGCCGUUCUUGCUACGUAUGGAAAACCUAUAUCAAGAUGGUUGUCAUGGCAAUGGAAAGAUUUGCAUGUGUCUUAUCUAUCUAUUUAAAUACCUUCUUAUGGUUUAUAACUGCCAUAAUACAUCCCUCCAGCCCUGCUCAUUGCUAAUUUAGAGCCAGCCCAGUGUGUCUGAGGUCAGCGAUACCAUCGGAAGCAUGUUGUCUAGACAACUCCAGAGCCACUGUCCACGGGAUAAUUGUUUUAUGCAAAUAAAAUACAAUGGUGACACUGUCAUCCAUGACUUGCACAAUCUGCCUGUGUGGGGGCUGGACCAAGUCCACCAUCACCUGCCCAGAAAGGGCAUUUUCUGCCACAUCAUCACUGGUUUGUUGGUUUUUUUUGGAUACCAGUUUCCUUUGGUCAGGCCUGGAGCUGCUUUGAGAUGAGGCCGGUGCUGUGAGAUGAGGCACUGCAAAAAUCUGCUCUGAGUGCCUGUGUGCCACUUAAGAGAAUUGAAGAAAACCUGACAAAUCCAACCCCCUCAUCAAAAUUAUUCAUUUGUAGGAGGGUGGAUGAAAGCUCCCUUUGCACCCAAUAAGCAUUUUGAGUUGGUACCAAGGGUUUUUUGGGAGGGUAUUACAUUUUAAAAACAACUCAACAAAGAUUCCAGUGGGUUGGACUGAAAUGAUCUAAAACUUUCUACCUGCCACAAAUCUAAGUUCUUCCUUUCUCUGUGUCUUUGUACCUCAAUUAUUUCCAUCAAAACACACUGGGCUGAGAGUGCUCCUUAGGAAGAUCAUGUGGGAGAUGUGGGAAUGUUUUGCAGACAGAGCAGAAACUGCUGGCCAUCAACAGAGAGAGCAGUACCUGCAUCACUCUGCUCCCCUCUUUUAUCUUUUUCUCCUUCAGGAGUUCAUACUUCGCUGCUACAUCCAAGUGGCUGCACAGGUAAGUGUGGCUAUUACUGCAUAAAUCCCUAAUGCACACAAGGCAGUAUGAAAACACUGAGCGUGGCAACAACAACCACCACCAUGAAAGGCUAUCUCUGAAAUCCAAAACCCCAGACUCCCCAUUCCUCUUUGAUCUCCCUGACUCAGGGGUUGUGGUUUCUCAGGAUGUCCACAGAUUAAAACCUCUUUUUCAAGUACUCCAAGAUCUACUAACGAUUUAUUUCCUGGCAAAUUGUACACUGCUGCUACCAGAGAUAAUUAAUAAUAAUAUUGAAAAUGUUUAAUAAUUUGAUAAUUGACUGAUUUGUUGCCACUAUUUGCAUCGCUUGACCACGCUUACGGAUUAGCAAUGUAUUUCUCCUCGAGAUAAUUGAUAUUUGUAUUCACAGUGUGAGGAAAUGCCACCUAUUCCUGCAGCAGCAAAUCAGGAACCAUUUACCCUGCCAAUACAGUUAGACAAUGUUUACGUGCAGGGCUACAUUCAUUGUUUGACUAAUCCGCGAGGGGUAGAUUUUCUAUUGCAUUUCAAUAGCUCAUCUACUUCAGGCUGUUGUGAACUUUCUAAAGAUGUGUUUUCACUGAUAAUAGCAGAUCUUGGAGUGCAGUAAUCUGGAAUUGAAGUUUCAGUGACAGAUUUACUCAACGAGCGUUUUGCAUGAGGCAUUACUGCAAACAUUAUUUUAUACCUGCGCGUGUAUAAAUAUUUUACACGUAUGCGCGGAGCCGACAAAAGCUUCGGGAGAUGAUUUCUGCAAUUCAGCCAACGAAGGAUUUCAAGUCAAGCACCGGUGUCCGAGCGUUUUUCAUAAUGGAUUUCACAGCAGAUGACCUGACAGCUAAUCUCAUGAUCUGAGCUGCACAUAUCCAAACAAACGCCCGCCAGGCCCCCAAAGGGUCCCCUGCUUUCACAUGCCACGGCGGCGAUGUCCAGAGGUCCAGACUGACCUCCUCACCCCCCGUCUGGGAAACAUUCCUGCUCCCGGCGGCUCAUUCUUGCCGACAAACAGAGCAGGACCAGUGGGCACUUGCUGAAAAGGGACAAGAGAGGGGCCGUGAAUGGAGCGUGUCUGGUACAACAAUGCCAGACAAUGUCUGUGAAUGGGGUUGCAAACCGUGCUCCUGUUAGAGGGGCUGCCAGCAGCUUCCCUGCCCCCUCUCCUCCUCCUCUGCUCUCCUUUCAGACACACAUCAGACCCAAAGACACACCAAAGGGGUGGACAAAGUCACUGGGUGCUGUGUUGCAGAGGGGGAGUCUGAUGGCUACAUAAUUCUCCAUGUGCCACCUGCCCCUGGUGCCACUAAAACUGGUGGCAAGGACAAAACCAAAACUUUUGAGUGCAAGCCCACUCUGGGAUGGGCCACUGGCCUCCAGUUCUGGAUUUUUUAGAAGCACCACAAGGCACCACUAAUGAGGGGUGGGGUUCAGACCUGGUUUGAUUUUUCUUUAAGUUGGGGGUUUUGGAGAAAAACAAAGCAAACAAGAAACUGUUUACCCAUAUUGUGACAUUUGUCUCCCAUCUAGUUUGUAGCAAAAAUGGCUUCACAGAGAACAUGAGAUAAAAGAAGAACACGUUAAAGGUUUUAUAGGAUACACUGAAACUUGUCUCACUUCUGUUUAUCCAAAUCCUGAGUAACUUUUCCAAAACCAAGAGAGAGUCCAAAUUUUACUGGUGAAGGCCAGUAUGCAGCCCAAAGCACAGAAGGAGUUUGGAAAGUACUUGGGCCUAAAUAUUGACACUUUUACCCUGAGAAGAUAUAAAGUUCCAUUGAAAAAUACUUAAAAUUACUCCAAUUACAUCGGAAAUUUUGAAUUAAAAUUAAAUAUAUUUUCUACUUCCAGUACUUAUUACCAGUGCUGAUCACAAGUUACCAUUAUAUCUACAGGAUCUACAAGUUACCGUAAUGUCUACAGACAUUAUGUCUCUGGUACUGCCUUACUCUACAGUCCACAGCCUUGCAAAAAGGAAAUAAAAGGAAAUUAUGAAACAGCAAGUGCCAUAUGAAAACCUCUUCCCAAGAGGCUCUGUGAGCCUCAGAAAGGCUAUUCUGGGUGUUGAAUCAAAAGCUGGGGAGCUCCAGUUGGGAAACCCACAGUGUACUCCCAGAGAAAUUUGGGAUUUCUCCUCUUGGGAGCCCACCAGUAACUCUAGCUCUACAUCUGCAAAUGCCCUUUGGGACAGGAGCAGUUGGGUCAAGGCUGAGACUGCAAAUCUUAGUAACACACAAAAAAAAAUCCUUCAAAGACUGGGAGCUUUCAGGAUCAAAGACGCCCCAUCUGACUGAUGUGUCCAUCUAUGUUUCUCUGUCUGCAGAGCUCUGCAUGGGUCUAUCUGCAAAAUAAAACUUCCUGCCCGUAUUUUAGAUCAUUUCCCAAAAGCAUAUUUGGGAUGUGAAUGUCCAGGCUGACCUGCCCAGACCUGUAUCAGCAACUAAUUUAAGCCAGCUAA